UACGUAGGGUGCAAGCGUUGUCCGGAAUUAUUGGGCGUAAAGAGCUCGUAGGCGGUUUGUCGCGUCUGCUGUGAAAACCUAAGGCUCAACCUUGGGCUUGCAGUGGGUACGGGCAGACUAGAGUGCGGUAGGGGUGACUGGAAUUCCUGGUGUAGCGGUGGAAUGCGCAGAUAUCGGGAAGAACACCCGUGGCGAAGGCGGCUCUCUGGGACGGUACUGAACGCUGAGACGGCGAAAAGCGUGGGGAGCGAACAGG
rnacentral:rRNA from 1 species